UGGGGAAUUUUGGACAAUGGGCGAAAGCCUGAUCCAGCAAUGCCGCGUGUGUGAAGAAGGCCUUCGGGUUGUAAAGCACUUUUGUCCGGAAAGAAAUCCUUGGCUCUAAUACAGUCGGGGGAUGACGGUACCGGAAGAAUAAGCACCGGCUAACUACGUGCCAGCAGCCGCGGUAAUACGUAGGGUGCAAGCGUUAAUCGGAAUUACUGGGCGUAAAGCGUGCGCAGGCGGUUUGCUAAGACCGAUGUGAAAUCCCCGGGCUCAACCUGGGAACUGCAUUGGUGACUGGCAGGCUAGAGUAUGGCAGAGGGGGGUAGAAUUCCACGUGUAGCAGUGAAAUGCGUAGAGAUGUGGAGGAAUACCGAUGGCGAAGGCAGCCCCCUGGGCCAAUACUGACGCUCAUGCACGAAAGCGUGGGGAGCAAACAGGAUUAGAUACCCUGGUAGUCCACGCCCUAAACGAUGUCACUAGUUGUUGGGGAUUCAUUUCCUUAGUAACGUAGCUAACGCGUGAAGUUGACCGCCUGGGGGAGUACGGUCGCAAGAUUAAAACUCAAAUGAAUUGACGGGGUCAUAGCUGUUU
rnacentral:rRNA from 1 species